AAGGAACGGUGACCACAAGGCUAGGUCCAGUGUGAGUUUGGGCUUGUCUACUGAGCGAUCCUAUGACAUCUCUGUUGAUAACAGUCAGACCUGCCAGGCUUACUGGGAACUCAAGUGCCCGGCGUGUGUGAUAUAUCUGCCAUGAUCCCUUUGUAAGAGUCACUUGCAUUUCAGACAGAGAAACACGCUCAGAGCUGGGUAUCAGUUGGUGAGGCACUGGCAUUCCACAGUCAGUUGAGUUAAUCCCUUGCAGAGGUCCCGGAGAUAUUUCCACUGCUGCUGUCUUCUCUUCUAAACUGGUCAUCCGAAUAUGAUAAAUUCGAGUUUUACUGCUAAGAUUAGCUAUUCCGUCAGCCCUCGCCCUGUGAAGCGAGGUGGUUUUGAACAUGCACAUUAAAGAAGUGAAAGGAAGGCAAGUCUGGCUGUAUCAUCUAAAAUGUGAUUGCCUCCGUGGGUAAGUCAAGAGGCUUCCUUUGAACAGGAAACGUGGAUGUCUUCACAAAGCCUACAUGAAGUGCAAAGACAGAGGAAGCCUCCAGACUGUGCAGGUGAGCAUAUGGGUGUGAUGGAGAAGGCAAUGGCACCUCACUCCAGUACUCUUGCCUGGAAAAUCCCAUGGACGGAGGAUCAUGGUAGGCUGCAGUCCAUGUGGUCGCUAAGAGUCGGACAUGACUGAGCAACUUCACUUUGACUUUUCACUUUCAUGCAUUGGAGGAGGAAAUGGCAACCCACUCCAGUGUUCUUGCCUGGAGAAUCCCAUAGACAGAGGAGGCUGGUGGGCUGCCAUCUAUGGGGUUGCACAGAGUCGGACACGACUGAAGCGACUUAGCAGCAGCAGCAGCAUAUGUGUGUGAGAGCAUGUGUGUCUUCAUGAUUCAUC
ensembl:lncRNA